GCAUAUCAAUAAGCGGAGGAAAAGAAACCAACAGGGAUUGCCCCAGUAACGGCGAGUGAAGCGGCAACAGCUCAGAUUUGGAAUCUGGCCCCCAGGGCCCGAGUUGUAAUCUGGAGAGGAUGCUUCUGGCGCGGCGCCUUCCGAGUUCCCUGGAACGGGACGCCGGAGAGGGUGAGAGCCCCGUACGGUCGGACGCCUAGCCUUUGUGAAGCUCCUUCGACGAGUCGAGUAGUUUGGGAAUGCUGCUCAAAAUGGGAGGUAAAUUUCUUCUAAAGCUAAAUAUUGGCCAGAGACCGAUAGCGCACAAGUAGAGUGAUCGAAAGAUGAAAAGCACUUUGAAAAGAGGGUUAAACAGUACGUGAAAUUGUUGAAAGGGAAGCGCCCGUGGCCAGACUUGUGCCCUGCGGACCACCCGGCGCCCUCAGCGCCGGUGCACUCCGUGGGGCGCAGGCCAGCAUCGGUUUUUCCAGGGGGACAAAGGCGGCGGGAACGUGGCUCCCUCGGGAGUGUUAUAGCCCGCCGCGCCAUGCCCCUGGGGGGACCGAGGACCGCGCUUCGGCAAGGAUGCUGGCGUAAUGGCCACCGGCGACCCGUCUUGAAACACGGACCAAGGAGUCAAGCAUUGGGGCGAGUGUCUGGGUGCCAAACCCGCACGCGAAAUGAAAGUGAACGCAGGUGAGAGCUUCGGCGCAUCAUCGACCGAUCCUGAUGUUCUCGGAUGGAUUUGAGUAAGAGCCUUACCGCUUGGACCCGAAAGAUGGUGAACUAUGCCUGUAUAGGGUGAAGCCAGAGGAAACUCUGGUGGAGGCUCGCAGCGGUUCUGACGUGCAAAUCGAUCGUCAAAUAUGGGCAUGGGGGCGAAAGACUAAUCGAACCAUCUAGUAGCUGGUUACCGCCGAA
rnacentral:rRNA from 1 species